rnacentral:lncRNA from 1 species
AUGGAAGUGGACGAUUCUGACGAUAUCAUGGAAAUAGAUCAAAACGAUUCUGUGGCACCCAAUUGGUCAGCUCCGCAAGUCGCUCAGCCGGAGUGUAUCGACAUGACCAGUGACGAUGAAGCCCCAGUUGUCAUAAAUAUCCAAUCUAAGGACAGUGCGUCAACUUUGUUAAAAAAGUUCUGCAAGUCCAAUAGCGAUCCAGUGCCUGAAGCUCCAACGAAUGUAGAGCAGUCCAUUUCAAAAUUAAAUCAAAUUUCUGUAACUGCGGUCAACACAAACGACAAUCAAAACUCAACUAGCAAUGGUCAGAAUUCUAACCACAAUGUAAAACCUGUUGAAGCCGAUUGUAUUGAUCUUGAUGAUGAUGUUACUAUUUACGAUCCUUCUCCGGCAAAUCUAACAACCACACUGCCAUCUUCUGCUGGUAAUCCAAAGGACGCUGCUGACAGUGGUGAAAAAUCUGAGGAAACUACCAAUGUUCAUCAGCCUCCUGUUCAAAAUCAUUCCAACCAGCAAGCAUUGAACCGACUGGUUGAAACCUGUGUCCAAGAUAGCUCCAGUUCUAAACCGAACAACUCUAACGAUGAAUGUGAAAUGGUAAUUUUAACUGAUGACGACGAAAAAGAAGAAAGCAAUAUUUCAGUUAGCAAUCCGGUUCCAGCCUCUGAUGCAUCUGUUCAUUCCAAUGGUGAAGUAGCCUCUACAAUUACUGAUCCGACUGACAAAAUAAAUUUGACUGAUGAUAAAAAUGUCAGAAACUCAGUUUCAAAUGAUCAGGACUCAGAUGUGGUAGUUCUAACUGACGAUGAGAAUACACCUGAUUCAGGGACCCCCAAAGAGGCAGCAUCUGAUGAUGGAAAGUCAGUUGCUUCAGAAUCAUUAGUUAUAGAUGAACCUGAUCAGAAAACCAGCGUCCAUGAGACCAGUGCAGAUGAACCGUCAGUGGAGGAUACCGUUUCAUUGGUGAAAAUUGACCUCACCGAUGAUGAACCCUCUGACGUGAAGGAUGAAAGUGUUUCAACUGCAGCUCCCCAAGGAGAAUCCAAGAUUUCUGAAAAACUUGAAUCUACAACAAAAGACAUACCAUCAAAAGCAGAGGAUGAUGAAAAGAAACCUAACUCAUGUUCGUUUGACCAAGAUAUCAAUAUGGUAAUCUUGGCGGAUGAUGAAUGUACACCAGACUCAAAGAAAACUCCUGCGGAGGUGAAACCCGACAGCGGGGGGUCGACUGAUGGGGACAAACCAGUUUCAAAUGAUCCUCAACAGAAAACAGAAGUUUCUAAAACUGGGACAGAUGAAAAAUCCCCAAAGGACACCAUUCAACUGGUGAAAAUUGACCUCACAGAUGAUGAUCCCCCAGAGAAGGAGGACGAGAAGGUGACCUCUACUGUUUCAGACAAGUCUCCUAUCUCCGAAGAAUCUAGGAUUCCUGAAAAGUCCGAGACUAAUAAGCAAGAAGCACCAAAAAUAGAUGUUUGUGACGUUGAUUUAACAGACGAGGAGGGAGCCGAACCAAAAGGGGCAACAGGAAUUGCCUCGAUACAAACGUCUGAAGGCACUAUCAUCGGGAAAGCAAUUAACCCGAACCCAAAAGAUGACAAUUUAUUCAAGACUCCAAAGCCACCGACAGCAGUGGAGGUUAUCGAUAUCGAAGCGAUUCGCGAGAAAAGGCUCGGAUCGUAUGAGUGUGUGAACCCUAACUGCAAGUCUGGUGAAGGAUUACGUUUAGCGGAGACUUUUGUAAUGACCUAUUACAAUGUGAAGCCAAAAAGAGGGCUGAAAAUGUGCGAGGAGUGUUAUAACAUAGCAAUGAACUAUGCCGAUUCUUUGUUGCAAAAGUUGGAAAAGCAUGAAUCGAUUUUUGAUGUCCCGCAUAAUCCAGAUAGUCUGAUUGUCAGUCUUGAUUUGGAUUCGGAUGAUGAAUCAGAAACUAAAGCAGAGAAUCCAGAACUCAAACGAAGAAAGUUAUUCAAAACAUCCGAAAAUUAUCUGGAUGAAACAAUUCAAAAAGUGCUCAACAAAUAUGAUUUUAAGUUCCAGAUGGAGGAAGGCAACAAAAAGGUUGCCUCUGAGAUUGAACGCAUCAAAGCCGAAUUUGACAGCAUGAACUGGAGAUCGACGUACACACACAAAACCUAA